ACCAGUGUGGCAUAGUGGUUUGAGUGUUGUACUGCCACUCAAGACCAGGGUUCAAUACCCAGCUUGGCCA